CGUAGGGUGCGAGCGUUAAUCGGAAUUACUGGGCGUAAAGCGUGCGCAGGCGGUGAUGUAAGACAGGUGUGAAAUCCCCGGGCUUAACCUGGGAACUGCAUUUGUGACUGCAUCGCUGGAGUGCGGCAGAGGGGGAUGGAAUUCCGCGUGUAGCAGUGAAAUGCGUAGAUAUGCGGAGGAACACCGAUGGCGAAGGCAAUCCCCUGGGCCUGCACUGACGCUCAUGCACGAAAGCGUGGGGAGCAAACAGGAUUAGAUGCCCUGGUAGUCCACGCCCUAAACGAUGUCAACUGGUUGUUGGUCCUUCACUGGAUCAGUAACGAAGCUAACGCGUGAAGUUGACCGCCUGGGGAGUACGGCCGCAAGGUUG
rnacentral:rRNA from 1 species